GCCUCUGUGGCGCAAUUGGCUAGCGCGUUCGGCUGUUAACCGGAAGGCUGGUGGUUCGAUCCCUCCCAGGGGCG
rnacentral:tRNA from 1 species